rnacentral:rRNA from 1 species
UACGUAGGGUGCAAGCGUUAAUCGGAAUUACUGGGCGUAAAGCGUGCGCAGGCGGUUUUGUAAAACUGUCGUGAAAUCCCCGGGCUCAACCUGGGAAUGGCGAUGGUGACUGCAAGGCUAGAGUUUGGCAGAGGGGGGUAGAAUUCCACGUGUAGCAGUGAAAUGCGUAGAGAUGUGGAGGGACACCGAUGGCGAAGGCAGCCCCCUGGGUUAACACUGACGCUCAGGCACGAAAGCGUGGGGAGCAAACAGG